rnacentral:rRNA from 1 species
AGUGAAGCGGCAACAGCUCAAAUUUGAAAUCUGGCCCCCUCGGGGUCCGAGUUGUAAUUUGUAGAAGAUGCUUCGGGUGUGGCCCCGGUCUAAGUUCCUUGGAACAGGACGUCACAGAGGGUGAGAAUCCCGUAUGUGACCGGUGGCCUCCCCCGUGUGAAGCUCUUUCGACGAGUCGAGUUGUUUGGGAAUGCAGCUCAAAAUGGGUGGUAAAUUUCAUCUAAAGCUAAAUAUUGGCCAGAGACCGAUAGCGCACAAGUAGAGUGAUCGAAAGAUGAAAAGCACUUUGGAAAGAGGGUUAAACAGUACGUGAAAUUGUUGAAAGGGAAGCGCUUGCAACCAGACUUGCGCGCGGUCGAUCAUCCGGGGUUCUCCCCGGUGCACUCGGCCGUGCGCAGGCCAGCAUCGGUUUGGGCGGCCGGACAAAGGCCUCGGGAAUGUGGCUCCUUCGGGAGUGUUAUAGCCCGAGGUGCAAUGCGGCCAGCCCGGACCGAGGACCGCGCUUCGGCUAGGAUGCUGGCGUAAUGGUUGUAAGCGGCCCGUCUUGAAACACGGACCAAGGAGUCUAACAUCUAUGCGAGUGUUUGGGUGGCAAACCCAUCCGCGUAAUGAAAGUGAACGGAGGUGAGAACCCUUAAGGGCGCAUCAUCGACCGAUCCUGAUGUCUUCGGAUGGAUUUGAGUAAGAGCAUAGCUGUUGGGACCCGAAAGAUGGUGAACUAUGCCUGAAUAGGGUGAAGCCAGAGGAAACUCUGGUGGAGGCUCGCAGCGGUUCUGACGUGCAAAUCGAUCGUCAAAUUUGGGCAUAGGGGCGAAAGACUAAUCGAACCAUCUAGUAGCUGGUUCCUGCCGAAGUU